rnacentral:rRNA from 1 species
AGAGUUUGAUCAUGGCUCAGAAUCAACGCUGGCGGCGCGCUUAACACAUGCAAGUCGAGCGAGAAAGGGGAGCAAUCCCUGAGUAAAGCGGCGUACGGGUGAGUAACACGUGGAUAAUCUACCUUUUAGUGGGGAAUAACUCUGGGAAACCGGAGCUAAUACCGCAUAAUCCUGUGAGGGGAAAGCAGCAAUGCGCUGAAAGAGGAGUCCGCGGCCGAUUAGCUAGUUGGUAGGGUAAUGGCCUACCAAGGCGAUGAUCGGUAGCCGGCCUGAGAGGGCACACGGCCACACUGGCACUGAAACACGGGCCAGACUCCUACGGGAGGCAGCAGUGGGGAAUCUUGCACAAUGGAGGAAACUCUGAUGCAGCGACGCCGCGUGAGCGAUGAAGCCCCUCGGGGUGUAAAGCUCUUUCGGCAGGGACGAUAAUGACGGUACCUGAAGAAGAAGCUGCGGCUAACUACGUGCCAGCAGCCGCGGUAAUACGUAGGCAGCGAGCGUUGUUCGGAAUUACUGGGCGUAAAGAGUGUGUAGGCGGUGCUAUAAGUUCGGUGUGAAAUCUCCCGGCUCAACUGGGAGGGUGCGCCGAAAACUGUAGUGCUCGAACGUGGGAGAGGAAAGCGGAAUUCCUGGUGUAGCGGUGAAAUGCGUAGAUAUCAGGAGGAACACCUGCGGUGUAGACGGCUUUCUGGACCAUUGUUGACGCUGAGACACGAAAGCGUGGGUAGCAAACAGGAUUAGAUACCCCCGUAGUCC